rnacentral:tRNA from 1 species
ACCCGACUGGCUCAUUCAGUAGAGCAUGUGACUCUUGAUCUCAGGGUCAUGAGUUUGAGUCCCAUGUUUGGUA